CCCAGACUCCUACGGGAGGCAGCAGUGGGGGAUAUUGCACAAUGGGGGAAACCCUGAUGCAGCGACGCCGCGUGGGCGAAGAAGUAUUUCGGUAUGUAAAGCCCUAUCAGCAGGGAAGAAGAAAUGACGGUACCUGAGUAAGAAGCACCGGCUAAAUACGUGCCAGCAGCCGCGGUAAUACGUAUGGUGCAAGCGUUAUCCGGAUUUACUGGGUGUAAAGGGAGCGCAGGCGGCACGGCAAGCCUGAUGUGAAAGCGCGCGGCCCAACCGCGGGACUGCAUUGGGAACUACCGGGCUGGAGUGCCGGAGAGGUAGGCGGAAUUCCUAGUGUAGCGGUGAAAUGCGUAGAUAUUAGGAGGAACACCAGUGGCGAAGGCGGCCUACUGGACGGUGACUGACGCUGAGGCUCGAAAGCGUGGGGAGCAAACAGGAUUAGAUACCCUUGUA
rnacentral:rRNA from 1 species